rnacentral:tRNA from 1 species
GUGUUGAUGCACAAAGGGUAAAAAUGCACUGUUUCGGCCUCCGAAGCCGAAGGUCACUGGUUCGACUCCAGUACUGCGCACCA